UCCCAACUGCAACUAAUGAAAGGGAUCAGGGCCUUUUCCUCUCCCAUAAGACACAUUGCUCCCUUCUCCGUUCCUCCCUGCAUGCCCUAGGAUGAAGAGUAGAUGGCCCUGGGCCUUCCUCUGAACUUCCUCUCCCUUGUUCUCCAUCUCU